ACAAUGGUGGUUCAGUGGUAGAACUCUUACUUUCCACGCAGAAGACCCAGGUUCAAUUCCUGGCCAAUGCA
rnacentral:tRNA from 1 species